rnacentral:tRNA from 1 species
AUGCAAACUAGGGGUUCCAAAGUAACAACAGUGGCAUUGUGG